ACAGGCUGUUGCACCUCAGAUCUGCUUGAUUAACUCUGAAUCUCUUAAAGGGAAGUGAAAGACUGAUAGAGCUGUUUUUAAGAAGAAUGAAACUCUCUCUCUCUCUCUCUCUCUCUCUCUCUCUCUCUCUCUCUCUCUCUUUAGCUGCCGCUCGUCCCACUCUCACGGUCCUGCCGCCCUCCAGAGACGAGCUGCAGCAGGGUAAGGCUACAGUGGUGUGUGUGGGCAGUAAGGGAUUCCCCUCUGACUGGAAGCUGAGCUGGAAGGUGGAUGGCAGCAGCAGGAGCUCUGCUGUGAAUCUGAGUCCCAGUGUGCUGCAGAAGGAUGGACUGUACAGCUGGAGCAGCAGCCUGAGCCUCACUGAGAGUGAGUGGAGCAGAGCAACAACCAUCAGCUGUGACGCCACGCACCCAUCCCAGAAUGCAGUGACCGAGAGCCUGAACACACAGCAGUGUGAUGACCACUGAAACACACACACACACACACACAUCACAUAAAGACAUA